rnacentral:rRNA from 1 species
AACGAACGCUGGCGGCAUGCCUAACACAUGCAAGUCGAACGAGACCUUCGGGUCUAGUGGCGCACGGGUGCGUAACGCGUGGGAACCUGCCCUUAGGUUCGGAAUAACUCCCCGAAAGGUGUGCUAAUACCGGAUAAUGUCUUCGGACCAAAGAUUUAUCGCCUUUGGAUGGGGCCGCGUUGGAUUAGCUAGUUGGUAGGGUAAAAGCCUACCAAGGCGACGAUCCAUAGCUGGUCUGAGAGGAUGAUCAGCCACACUGGGACUGAGACACGGCCCAGAAUCCUACGGGAGGCAGCAGUGGGGAAUAUUGGACAAUGGGCGAAAGCCUGAUCCAGCAAUGCCGCGUGAGUGAUGAAGGCCUUAGGGUUGUAAAGCUCUUUUACACGGGAUGAUAAUGACAGUACCGGGAGAAUAAGCUCCGGCUAACUCCGUG